rnacentral:rRNA from 1 species
AGGAUUGGCAUUGGGCGAAAGCCUGAUCAGCCUGCCGCGUGUGUGAAGAAGGUCUUCGGAUUGUAAAGCACUUUAAGUUGGGAGGAAGGGUUGUAGAUUAAUACUCUGCAAUUUUGACGUUACCGACAGAAUAAGCACCGGCUAACUCUGUGCCAGCAGCCGCGGUAAUACAGAGGGUGCAAGCGUUAAUCGGAAUUACUGGGCGUAAAGCGCGCGUAGGUGGUUUGUUAAGUUGGAUGUGAAAUCCCCGGGCUCAACCUGGGAACUGCAUUCAAAACUGACUGACUAGAGUAUGGUAGAGGGUGGUGGAAUUUCCUGUGUAGCGGUGAAAUGCGUAGAUAUAGGAAGGAACACCAGUGGCGAAGGCGACCACCUGGACUAAUACUGACACUGAGGUGCGAAAGCGUGG